GGUGAAAUUAGGCCAAUGGCAUGUAACAGGGCUCAAACAGCAGGGUGUCAUUCCAUCAAUCAUCUCCUCUGUUGGAGAUACUACAUCAUCUUUGCUUAGUGUUGCGUUUGAAACCAACCCAGAAAACAGCACUGCUGACCAGUUAUUGCUCGUCAGGUCACAGCCUGUUGAAAUCAUCUAUGAUGCAAAAACAGUAAUUGGAUUGACUGAAUUUUAUCAAACUGAGAAAAAAUAGAUCUUGAGACAAUAGCUUCAGCCACAUUGAUGAAGCUGGAAAAAUCAAGGAGAGGACUGCAUCAGGUUUAACUUACAUUAUCGACACCCACAAAGUUCUUGACCUUAAGAUAAGUUUAAGUCCGUCAUAUUUGAUUGUGCCUCAAACUGGAUUUUAUGCUAAGGAAUCAAACUUGAUGAUCAUAGAUUUUGGCUGUUUGCAGUUCAACAGCUUAAAUCAAGGUACUCGACAGCCUCUGUCACCUGCCUUAUCCC